rnacentral:lncRNA from 1 species
GGCGAGGCUGCUGUGUGUGUUUUUGAUCCUCUCCGUCUAACCUCAGUAAUAUUGACACUCAUGGCUGGCUCCUUCCUGUGGGUCUGUGCAUGAUUUUGGGCACCUGUCUUUUUUUGUUUUUAAAGAUUUAUUUUUAUUGUAUGCAUGUGAGUACACUGUAGCUGUCUUCAGACACACCAGAAGAGGGCAUCUGAUCCCAUUACAGAUGGUUGUGCGCAAUCAUGUGGUUGCUGGGAAUUGAACUCAGUACCUCUACAAGAGCAGUCAGUGCUCUUAACCUCUGAGCCAUCUCUCUAGCACCUGUCUUAAGCUUCAUUUUUUUUUCCCCCAGACUCUCACGGAGCCCAGAUUGACUUUGAAUUUGCUAUGCAGUUGAGGAUGGUCUUGAACUCCUGAUCUUCCUGUCUUCACCGCCCUGAUGCCUCAGUGCUGGUAUUACGGUGUGCACCACCAACUCCGGGCUGUAGGAGUAUUAGGGCUGAGACUUGAACUCAGGAUCUCGUGCAUGGUAGACAAGUGUCCUGUGGCUGAGCUACAUCCCCAGCCAUUCCUGAUUUAUCCAUGGCCUGCAUCCUUCACCUCAUCUCUACCCGAGGGUCUGAUGGAGCUGAGACCAGUCACAUUUAAAUUCAAAGCUGUUAGCAUAUAAAAGAAGAUUAAUGUCUUAUCUAUCUUGGGUUCUCUGGCCCCUUGUCAGUUAGAGUAAACAAAAGCUGGGAGAGCAGGAGAAAACAGGGCAGAUUUGUAACGUACGUGUGUGUGUGUGUGUGUGUGUGUGUGUGUGUGUGUGUGUGUGUGUGUGUGAGAGAGAGAGAGAGAGAGAGAGAGAGAGAGAGAGAGAGAAUGUGAGAGAGUGUGUGAGUGUGUGAAUGUGUGUGACAGGAAGAGAAGUUCAAGGGCAUUUGCAAUAACAAAAUAAGGUGUGAGGCUAGCCUGGGUUACAUGAGACCAGUCAGAAAACCAGCCAGCCAGCUGGGUGACACUGGUGCACUCCUUUACUCCCAGGACGUGGGAGGGAGGCAGAGGCAGUUAGAGGGCAGCCUGGUUUACUGAGACAGUUCCAGGACAGUCAGGGCUAAAGAGAAAGCCUGUCUUAAAAAAACAAAAUAAAACAAACAACAGCAAAAUAAGCAAUCUAUGCUCUUUAAGGGCUGCUGUUUUAACCCUUGUCUUCUUCUGUGCCCACUUUGAGCCAUCAGGGUGUCCUAGAAGUGCACCGUGCCCCCUCAGGUUCACUGUGCUGCCCUUUGAAGGUCUCCAGUGUCAAGCCUCUCACUUUGGAGGGGGCCACAGCCGGUGUGGAAGGAGACAGAAGGCAGGACAGAACAGGGCCUCACCUGAGUGUCUGCACUUUGAAUCCAGAACAGGCCACUGUGUGGCCUUCAUCAAGUGCUGUUAUGAGCCUGUUCUAUAAAACAGGAUGCCCCUCCCCAA